rnacentral:lncRNA from 1 species
UGCAUAAUUCGCUAAAAAGUAUUUCAAACUAUUUAACAUAUUGGUACUAUGUUUAUACUCUCUACCGCAGCUACUGUAUGAUGUCAUAGCAAUGACGUCACACUCAAGCCAAUCAGCCUUGAGGAGGAUAGACUCGUCGGACUGUAGCGGUUGUAAACAACUUGUCGCCCCGUGUGUCUGCCCGUGGCGCUAGUUAUCUGUCGGAGUUACCACUGACAAUGCCCAAAACAAGAACAACAAAGGCCCAAAGGUGGCUGUUUGGUAGUGCGCAAAGCUGCUGGUGGUGGUGGACGUCUCUGCCCUGACGCGCGGCGUGCGUCUGCUCAGUGUGGAGGUGCCGCUGACAGCGGUGCCGGCCGGACCGGCUGCCUCUCCGGCGGCCGACAUUGAGCGCGGCACGUGUCCGCCGCCGUUCGGGCCGCUGCAGCUGCUGCAGUCGGCGGCGCAGCUGUCCGUCUCCGUGUCGCUGGCCGUGCCGCUGGACCUGCUGCCGCGGCCGGCGCCGGCGCGCUGCGCCUACGGCCGCCUGCUGGCCGUCGUCUCGCAGCGCGGCCUGCAGCGCAGCGGCGUGCUGCAGCUCAUCCAGCAGCUCAACGAGCCGCCCAGCCCGGCGGCGGCCGAGGGCGCCGCGCCGCGCCGGCCCGGCGACGUCAGCACACCUGGCAUCAGCGGCUUCUGCCUGGCCGACCGUCAGCUGCACCUGCUGUUCGCCGAGGGGCGCGCCGACGCCGAGCUGGAACAGACGGCGGCCGCGCCGCGCGCUCUGCCGCGCCGCGACGCUCGACUCUGCCACCACUGGGGCCUGCUGUUUAGGGAGCGCCUGUACCCGCGCCAGCCGGCCUCGUUCCGCGUGCUCGAGGACCGCCCGCUACGCGCCCAGCUGCUCGACACCCGCCUCUACACGUUACAGAAACAGGAGCCGGCGCGCGCCGUCCGCGCCAUCAGAGAGUGCUUCCGCACGCAGUGGCUGUCGGAAAAUGAACCUGCUUCCCAACGAGGCCGGCCUGCAACAACUGCUGGCCGGCUGUUGCCCGAAAAAAACGCCUUCAACCGGAUGUCAGUUGUCAAAUCAACGCGUAUUAAUGCAUUCACUAGGAUGGGCUUACGUAAAGCUGUAGAAUUGCAAAUAUAUAAUGGCACUGUUUUUGA